CCGAGGUGUGGGCAUUGUCGCCUCGAGUUGCCUUCCUCGACCAGCAACGCUCCAUUCUUAGUGUCGACAAUGGUACUCUCCGGCAACGCAUUACAGCUCUUACCCAAGACAAGAUUUUUAAGGAUGGUAAGAAAUAAACCAAUUCAAAUAGGCUCUUUUUUUUUAAAUCUAAAAUUGAUUUAGAAAUUUCACUGCAUGCAGCUCACCAGGAAGCACUGAAGAAAGAGAUCGAAAGGCUAAACCAAGUGUACCAUCAACUAAACCUGGAGAAGAUAGCUUCCACAAGCACCACACCCACAGCUGCGGGCAUUGAAACAUCCAUGAAGCCCAUCUCCUGCGAAAAAGAUAAACUGAGUGGUGAAAAACAACAACAGCAGUAAAUAGCAGCAAAUUGUUUUCUUAAUUAUCAUCAUCAUGUGUAUUUUUCAUUAUGUUGAUUCUUACUUAUUUUCUGUGAAGUUGUAACUUGUAUGUAAUUCAUGCAACUAUCUAUCAUUUAUUUACUUGUUUAAUUUUCAUUAUUAAAAAGAAAAAGAUUGAAACCUACAUGUGAAGAGCAUGUGUGUGUUGGUCUCUACUUUUAUUCCUUGAUGGCUUCUUCUUCUAUUGUCUUAGCUGGACGUGGAAAAAGUUUACAACUAUGUAUUGUGGUAUUAAUAGACAAGUUGAUGUAUAAGACUGCAGAUAUAAAAACAAGGCAAGCUAAACACAUGUGUGGAGAUUUCUUCUACAAUAGCUUUUUAGAUCUGGUGGAUGGAUUAUACUGGUGGUCCUCUUUUUUAUUUAUUGAUAGAAAUAUAGAUGAGAUGCCAUAUGCAUGUGCCAUUGCCUCCUCAAUUCAAAAAAAUCGUUAUAUUUGUUUCAAUAAAUUCAUUUAAGAGAUUCAUAUUUUACCUGUCGAAAAUAUAAGAAGGGAAAAUCAGGUCAAUCUUAUAUGUCAUAGUUUUGAAU
rnacentral:lncRNA from 1 species